GCAACCCCCGCCCCCCGCACACACCAACCGAGCCGUGGGGCGGCGAGAACGCGACACCCGCCCCGGGACAGGGCAAGGCGGCGAAGGGGCCGCGGUCACCCCACGACACUCGCGCCCGCAGCUCGCGUGGGAGGGAGAGACGGCGAGCCCGGCCGCCCCCUGAGCCCGAGCCAGCGAUCCAGGCUGCCCUGCUCGUACCGUGAGCGCCGCUGCCCCGCCACGGCGCCGGCCCCUCGGACGUCCCGGGCCGCACGGAGGCGAAUCAGCCGGCGGCAGAGUUCUGGAGGCGGCGAAGUUCGGCUCGCGCUCUCAACCGUCCCCGCUCCCGGCGCGCGCGAGCCCACCAACCCCAGCCCGUCUCGCGCUGGGUCGGGGGAGGCUGGCUGACAGUUGUACACCUUGCUGUGUUUAUAUGAGAGAAAGCAAGGUCAAAGAAGUGCAUCUUACACUUGGAGUAAAAGUCAAUGAGCUUCCACAGCUUUAGAAGACCACAGUGAUGAAAAACGUAUUACAGUGUUGAAUGUUAUGUAUAUUGGAAACAGCAGCUAGCAAAAAAGCCGGGUAAUUCUGCAGAAAAUUAAGGGGCUAUCGAAGACUGGCAACAUGACGUAAUCAAUAGUGGCUCCAUGCAUCUGAAGAACUGAGUUUUUUACCCACAAAAGCUUGUGACUCCAUGCAACUGAAGAAGUGGGUUUUUUAAACCACAAAAACUUAUGCCCAAAUAAAUCUGUUAGUCUUUAAG